rnacentral:rRNA from 1 species
AUUGAACGCUGGCGGCAGGCCUAACACAUGCAAGUCGAGCGGAUGAAGGGAGCUUGCUCCUGGAUUCAGCGGCGGACGGGUGAGUAAUGCCUAGGAAUCUGCCUGGUAGUGGGGGAUAACGUCCGGAAACGGGCGCUAAUACCGCAUACGUCCUGAGGGAGAAAGUGGGGGAUCUUCGGACCUCACGCUAUCAGAUGAGCCUAGGUCGGAUUAGCUAGUUGGUGGGGUAAAGGCCUACCAAGGCGACGAUCCGUAACUGGUCUGAGAGGAUGAUCAGUCACAAGGGAAGUGAGACGGGGUCAGGACCAAUACGGGGGGCAGCAGGGGGGAAAUUGGGAAAAUGGGGAAAAGCCUGACCCAGCCAGGCGGGGUGAGGAAAGAGGGUCUUUGGAUUGAAAAGAAUUUUAAGUGGGGAGAAAGGGCAAAAAUUUAAUACUUUUCUUUUUUGACGUAACAAAGAAAAAAAGACCCGGCAAACUUCGUG